AAUAAACACCUUUUUUUUUUUUUUUAACUAUUCCAGGUAAGUACUUCCAUUUGAUAUACUUGACAUUUAUCAUGUUUUGUCUCCUCUGUACAACACCCUGGAAAUCCUCAGUUUCACAAAUUAUUGUCUCAGGUUACUACAGGCCAGGGCAAAGUAAGGAAGAAAAGUAGAAUGAGAGUCUCCUCUUGUCAACCCUUUAACACUGGAUGACUUUGCCAGUUGGAUCAGUCUCCAUUAUUUAACAGUGAGAAGAGGCAGCCUGAUGUUUGAUUCAGAGAGAUGAGGAUGAAUUAAGAUGUUGCAAUAUGACUUUCAAUGCAGAAUACAAGGAAAGAACAUAUCAGUCACACAGAAGAAGCAGUAGAGCUCCCAAGGACUGAUGAAAUGUGCUUUGCCCUGGUGGUGACUGCAGCUGCUACGUCAUGUGAAAAAAAUGAGAAGUUGCCCUAAAUUACCAUCUGCGACGUUUUAGCCACCUCCUGUAGUGGAAGCUGGUCAUGUGGGCCAACCCUCUGUGUGGUUUGAGACUGAGUGUCGUUUUGCUUUCUUGGGAUCUCAGCAUUUGCAUUUUAAAGCAAUUACCAAGUUAAGCACAAUCUCUGUGUUCAUGGGUCUGCCUGCAUGGGCAUGUAGGUAUCUUCAGCCUCGUAUGGCUUUGAGAAUUUCUGAAAGAGCCUUUGAUCUGGGUUGGGAUGUUUAGUAUUUCUGAGGGCACAUACUUGAGGGUACAAACUGUUUAGCAAAUGAGACAGAAUGGCAUUUUUACAAGGGUAAGUAGGAAUUGGGAAUGUACUUCACGUGUGCUGAGAGGCACUUGGAACAUCAGAGUGCUGUGUCCUAAUACUCUGAGUAUUUCAACCGCAUGAAUAGGCCACACUGAAUUUAACUUUCAGAAAAGUCAUUUGCGGGCAUACAUGCUUUUCCUGAAAUAGGUGUGUUUGUGCAC
rnacentral:lncRNA from 1 species